GGAGGGAGGAACACUGACAUGAGUUACCAAGCACUGUUCAGACACUGGCAUCAUGGAAAUGUGCCCUGUGGAGGCUGUUCCAGUGGGACCCACCAUAUUGUCCUUACCAUGGAGUGCUCCCAACAGGGUGUGGAAGCUGAAGCUGCUACUCUACAGAGGCACAUGAAGCUAGUACUCUACAGUGGAGCUGCUACUCCAUACUAGAAGAUACCACUCUGCACCUGGAUAGCUGCUAUUCCAUCAGCUUCAGGGAGGCUACCCUACUAGCCUCAUGGCUUAUCCAUCAGCCUUAAGGCUACUUGACUAGUUUCUCAACCAGCAUUGGUGAACCUUUUAGAGAUCCUGUGCCCAAACUUCACCUUCAAGCUGCCUGUGAGCCCUUCCACAUUACCUCAGAGAGCAGAGAGAGCAAGUGCUCCCAUUACUCUGCUGGACAGAGGGGCGGGACAUGGAAAAAAAUGUUCUUGGGUUCUGUGAAGAAGGGGAACAGAGCAGCCUCCUCUGUGCCACUGGGGCACACAUGCUAUGCCUUCACCAACAUGGCGCUAGAAAGUCUAGAGUGUUCCCCCCACUAUUAUACCACCACAAGCUUCUUCAAAUAAAAUUCUUUUCUUACUUCUGGAUUAAAA